rnacentral:rRNA from 1 species
UCCCAGCAAUGGGGGAACCGGCGUAAGGGGCAGUAAGGCGUGGGUACCUACCCUGGGGUCCGGGAUAGCCGUCCGAGAGGGCGGGUAAUACCGGAUGACCUCGGGAGAGCAAAGCUCCGGCGCCCUGGGAGGGGCCCACGUGAUAUUAGCUGGUUGGUGAGGUGACGGCUCACCAAGGCGGAGAUGUCUAGCGGGUGUGAGAGCACGACCCGCGCCACUCGCACUGAGACACUGGCGAGACACCUACGGGUGGCUGCAGUCGAGGAUCUUCGGCAAUGCGCGCAAGCGCGACCGAGCGACGCCGCGUGGGCGAUGAAGGCCUUCGGGUUGUAAAGCCCUGUCGAGGGGGAGAAAAGCGGGCAACCGUGUGAUCUAUCCCUGGAGGAAGCUCGGGCUAAGUUCGUGCCAGCAGCCGCGGUAAGACGAACCGAGCGAACGUUGUUCGGAAUCACUGGGCUUAAAGGGCGCGUAGGCGGGCUGCCAAGUUUGGGGUGAAAUCCUCCGGCUCAACCGGGGAAGUGCCUUGAAUACUGGCGGUCUGGAGGGAGGUAGGGGCGUGCGGAACUAACGGUGGAGCGGUGAAAUGCGUUGAUAUCGUUAGGAACUCCGGUGGCGAAGGCGGCACGCUGGACCUUUUCUGACGCUGAGGCGCGAAAGCCAGGGGAGCGAACGGGAUUAGAUACCCCGGUAGUCCUGGCCCUAAACGUUGAGAACUAGGUAGUAGGCCGGACAUGGGCUUACUGCCGGAGCAAAAGUGCUAAGUUCUCCGCCUGGGGAGUAUGGUCGCAAGGCUGAAACUCAAAGGAAUUGACGGGGGCUCACAC